CUGACGGGACGAUAACAACAUCCAUUCUGAGUGAAGAAACCGAGCCCAGGGAAGCUAAGUGGCAUGUCCAAAGUGCGCGAAGUGACCCCGGUGGGAUCCGACCCGUGCAGUCCGCCUCCAGGCGCAUGCGGACUCUUCUGUUUACACCGGGGGUGGGGUCUUCGCUUGCAUCCCCGGCUCCUGACAGACACGGCUGCAAUUACGAGUAACCUCCCCUUUCCCCACUCAUCCCCCUGCCGCCGUAGCCUGUGCACCUGUGCUCUCUUGCCUUUUUGGGAAACCUGGUUCAUCUGUUGUCUGCUAUUUCUCUUGGGUGUUGAAAACAUGACUUAUCUGUGCACUCGCUUGAUGAAUCGAUCGCACACUGACCCAACAGCAUUUUUAGAGAGUGCAAAAGUGAGUAACUUCACCAAAACCCUCUGGGAACUGACUGUCUGGGGAUGUAACGGCAUCUUGUAAAAACCACUCCGAGGGGCCGGGCAGUGUCCUCAGGAGUUACGAGUACUAUCUCAGUUCAUCUCCAUAGCAAGACUAGGACGGAGGUGCUAUUUUUAUCCCUGGUUUCAUAUGAGGCAACGAAGCACAGAGAGGUCAAGGAACUUGCCCAGCGUUACUUCACUGGUAAGCAGAGGGUCGGGAAAGUCAGCGGGCUGUUCCACUUUUGUGCAAUCACUGUUAAUUAUCGUAGGGAGAUGCAGGGUUCUGUGGGAACUCUUGGCAAGGCCAUUGGAUGGGCCAUGCAGUCAGGAAAGAUUCUGGAAGGAGUGGUUUCCAGACAAUUCCUGGAGCGGAGAAGGCGUGGGCUGGGCAGGGGGCUGUGAGUGGGCUGUAGGGGUGGGAGGAAACGGGCGGCAGAGGAAGCAGCAGCACAUAGAGCCAAAGAAGCCGCCAGGCACAUGCUGUGUGCUGGAAGCCGGGAAACCUGCGGGUGGUGGGAACCGAACGGGACAGGAGGGCGUGGGCAGUAGAGCGUCCUCAAGUUGGAAGGUCAGCAGAAGCCAUCGUCCCCUGCCUUGUGUAGCACCUCAGGGAAUUUCACUGUGGUCUAAACAUGGGAUAAGGUGCUGAGGGCUUCCAGCAGGAGAGAGCUCGCUGUGGCUGCUAGGUGAGGAUGGCUGGUAUUCUCUCAAGAUCUUCCCUCCUCCGAAGGGUGGGUUGGACAGACUCACAAAGAGUUGGACAAAGAUGUGAGGCACUGAUGUCAUGUUGUUGAAUGGCUAACUUUAGUGGGAGCUCACAAAGCUCUUGCAAGCACAGCACAACUAAGAACAUGAGUGGUCUACACCGUGGCCUUCAAACAUGCUAAGAUAUUUGGUGAGGGAGCUGGCCUAAACCAUCCCGACUCCAUUUGCAAUUCAGAUGGAAAUGGAGCGAGAGUGGCCCCGGCACGGACCAGGGCUCUUGGAGCAGCCGUGUGGGAAACGACACGGGCUUUGACAGAGCGGAGAAACGGCGGGCAGAAACAAGGGCCAGGUGCUGCUUCUGAGCGUGGUGGACAGGAGGCGGAAGGAGGCCUGACUGCCACCUGGCUUUCGGCUAACUUGUCAGUCUCCCAGGUUCACGUCGAAGGCUCUGAUGGAAACUGGACAGAAAAUAGGUUAGACUUAAUAUCCACACAACACACAGAGGAGAAAGAAGACCUCCCCCAAACCGUGAUUACGGCAUUCCCAAACGUCCUCGCCACUCACGAAGGCCUGAAGGAAGGUCGAGGGGUUUGUAAACACGGCAGACGUCGGCGUGGCAUCUCUGUGCCGGGUCGGGUAGAGAGACACCCUGUGGCUAUCAGCAGUCACUUCUCAGAGCUCCUCCCCGCACCCCAGCUCCAGACGGUCAUUAACGCACUUUGUAUUUCUGCAUUUGCUUAUUCUGGACCGGUCCUACGAAGAACAUCGUAUGAGCCAUAGGAAGCUACAACAAUAGUACAAGGGGUUUCCAUCCCUUUACCCGAUCUCUCUCGGUGGCUACAUUUUCUACCUGUAGUGCAGCCCCAGAACCUGCUUGGAACCUGCCUGUCCUUCGAAUUUGGGCACAUGCGCUCGGGCAUCGGCAUGCUGUUCAAGCCUCCAGUCUGAACGUCCAGGUGCACAGUUGGCCAAGUGGGACCCAGCACCCUGGCCACCGCGGCCCGGGCUGGCCCUCACUCUCACCACGGCACCGUCCUCCCGCCACCAUUGGCUUCGUUUGUUUAUCCGGCAGGCUCUUGCUCUGUUGCCCAGGCCAGCCCUAAGCUCGCAGCCACCCGCCCAUGCCCCGGCCUCAGUCUCCACAUGUUGCCGGCAUUGCAGUACGAAGCAGUGCGCCCACUCUGGGCUGGGCUGGCCGGGACUCCCACCGGGGCCCAGAGGGCUCAGGGCCCUCGCAGUGCCGUGCUACUGUGGCUGGAACGGCUUUCCUUUCUUGUCUUAAGAUUCGCGAGUUCUUCACACAUUUCGGGUAUCGCCUUUACCCUCUAUCUUUUCUUUCUUAGUCUCUUCUCCAAGGUUCUCUUUUUUCAUAUUUUCUAUUUCUUUAUUUCCCUGAACUGUACUCUUUUUUUU